rnacentral:rRNA from 1 species
UGAGGAAUAUUGGUCAAUGGGCGACAGCCUGAACCAGCCAUCCCGCGUGAAGGAAGAAAGCGCUAUGCGUUGUAAACUUCUUUUCCAGAGGGAUAAAAUGAUGUACGCGUACAUUACUGAAGGUACUCUGGGAAUAAGCAUCGGCUAACUCCGUGCCAGCAGCCGCGGUAAUACGGAGGAUGCGAGCGUUAUCCGGAUUUAUUGGGUUUAAAGGGUGCGUAGGCGGGACAAUAAGUCAGUGGUGAAAACCUGCAGCUUAACUGUAGACUUGCCGUUGAUACUGUUGUUCUUGAGUAUGGUCAAGGCAGGCGGAAUGUGUAAUGUAGCGGUGAAAUGCUUAGAUAUUACUCAGAACACCGAUAGCGAAGGCAGCUUGCUGGGCCGUUACUGACGCUGAGGCACGAAAGCGUGGGGAUCGAACAGG